AUGGAAAUGUUCCAUGGCUUGAAGAGGUGGAGAGGAUGUGGGAGAUGCAUUCUUUGAAAAGAGACACAUAGACAUGAAAUGGGAAUUUCCAUAAGCAAUUUAGGAGAAGGAGGACUUCUGAAUGCUUGUACUUAGAAUUAUUUGCAAUGUCUUCCCCUAAUUCAAGGGUAGUUUGUCUUAUCCUUGGAUAAGAUACGAUUGGAUUGCCUGGAAAAAGAGAGGGUAGCCAUGCACUGACGUAGCAGAAGUAGAGCUGCUGAGGCCAACAAGGAACCUUUGGGAUUGCUCCUGGCCGUGGAUGUUUGGCAUGUCCCUGACAGCCGAGCUGUACAUGCUCAGACAUGCUCCCCCAGCCUGGGCUUUGGGCUCCCACGGCCCCUGCAGAGCACUGGGAGGAGCUGGGGCUGAAGGCCUGAGCUCUGCUCUCUCAGCUCUAAGCCCUGGGGAAGCGUCCCUGACCCUGCUCUGUGCACAGUUUUCUCUUGAAUGCCUCACGUGGGAAAUGCCCCAAUGUGGGGAAUGCUCGUGAGGCUGUUUGCAAGAGCAGUUCCUGGCUUGCUUGCUGUGCCCGUUGCUUUGGCAGGCUCCUGGGGGUUGGAUGUUGGUGCUCAUUGCUUCUGGCCGGGCUUAUGGCUGCUUUGGAACUACUGUGGUCUCACACCAUUGUUGUCCUUCGAUACAGAUAUGCUGUUCUCAGUGCUUGCUGCCUGCAUACCUCUAUGUUCGUGCUGCUCUCUGGGUGGUGAGGCUCUCCCUGGGCUCUGGCAGUGACUCAGCUUCGUCUCCUCGGGGUGUGCUCCUCACAGCCUGCCUUGUUAUCUCUUAGCAAUCCCACGCUGAUCCGUAGAGGAUCCAUGUGUGUGCUGGGAGCAAGCUGGUACGGCGCCUUCAGUGCUCGCUCCCUGCACCUUUCUCUCUUACUGUGCCUUCAUCACAGCUUGCUCCCAGGGCAGGGCAUCAGCUGCCUUCUGGAAGCACAGCUGUUGUCCUUAGAGGAAUCGAUGUUCUUAUUUCAAAAUGGAAAUCUAACCACAACUCCCCAAAACCAAACCCCAAACCCCCAGCCCUCGUGGGCAGCCUCAUGUAGUCUGAUGGGGGUGAUGGUCUAUGUGAGAUCUUCCUCUGCUUUCCCAUUUAGCCCCAUCACGUCAGCUGUUCUUUGAACCUUGCUCUGAAAUGUCAGCGGGGGGUUGCCCUCAUUUCAGUGCUCUGUCUCAUGCUGUCGCUUGUGGGUUUUGCUGUAUAGGCUGGGCAAGUGAACUGGGGGAAAAAACCCACAAAAACCAAUCAAAACACACAGAUUCUGUAAUUGCUUUGGAAUCUGACGAGCAGCAGAUGGCUCUGUGCUCUUUGCAAGCACCCAUCCUCUGCAUACCGAGGACUAGCUACGUCAUGUUGUUCAACAAGCCACAGAAAUUAUAUUUUAAUCCAACCUUGCUUCCCCCUUCCUCCUCCCCCACCCCCCGUGGUUUGUUGUUGCACUCAGUAGCUUGCCAUAAUGCAUUUCGUCCUGCCUGCCUCUGAUUGGAAACACAAGACACGACUUCAUUACAAGCUCUAUGGCUUCCCCCUACACUUAACAUACCGUACAAAUUGUUUGCUCAACUUUGGCAUCUUGCCUCAGAGGAAUUUUUGUCAUUUGAAGGUUUUAAAUCGGCUAUUUGAGCCACUCACAAUUGUAAAUAAUAGCCUAUUAGUUUAUAAGAGACGUACUUGCUGGCAUUUCAAACCUCUCAGAGGGAUCACACUGUCUUGGAAACCCUGUAACGCCUAUGGAACUGAGCACUGUUUAAAGAAACCCCCAAACGCUGCCCUGGGAAAAUUCAUUUAUAGAAAAUAAGCGAAACGAAUAGAUGUUUUUAGCCACAUGUUACUCAUUUUCUUUUUAUUGCUUUAACAUGUCUUCACUGGAACAUGUUUCCAUUGGAGGCUGCUGGUGCCAGCUGUACACCUGGCUCAAGUUGGAAAGAAAUGGAGUUUGGCCUUUCAUCUUCGCUGUUUUCUGUUAUGAUUGGAACUGAGGGUUGGCCCCAGAUCAGACAAAGGGUGAGCUGAAAACCAUCCUCAGAGCUGGUUUCUAGAGGAAGCCUUAUAGGGUUGUGUGUGGGGGGUUUGGCUUUUUUUUUCUCCUCUCCCUUUUUGGAGCUCUUGUAUUGAGUUUAUAUACUGGCAGAGGCAGGAAACCAUUGUGUACAAUAUGGCAAACAGAGCUAACAGGCAGUCAGGCCAGAGGCUAUAAAUUAUUAUUUUAAUUUCUUGGUUUAUGGUUUCUUGUUGACUCCAGAUCAAUAGGAAAAAGAUGCAUUGAGCCACCUCUUUUAAUUAAAAAGGCUUCUGUGAUUAGGCUCUAGUGAGGGAUGAAGAGGCGCGUGAAGAGGAUGUGUCUGGAAGCAGAUGGUGGUUUCCAGGGGGAGGAAUGUUGCUUUCCCCUGUGCUGCAUCAGCCGCUCAUUUUCUAGUGGCCAACUUUCUGGAGGAGCUAUGGGAGAAACCCAACUGCAGCGCAGCACACUUCACCGAGCUUUCUUCCAGCCUGGUUUGUGUUUGCAUCCUCACAUCCCGAGCCAGCGGACCUUGUUUCCCAUCGAAUAAAAAAGCACUGUAUUUUAGCAGACUCUUGUGCUUAUUUUAAAACAACUCCAGCUUCGUUUCACCCCAAACGUGGGCCACUUGCCCCAUAGUGCUGAGAAAUCGUUGGCGUUUGGUGCCUAACAGGUGCAGCAAUGUUUUUCUUUCCAAAGAAUUUCCACAGCGAAAUGCACAUCUGUAACAAAGCCUGUGUUUUUCUGCUCAUCACCCUCAGACACGGCCGUAAUUAAAUGCAGAUAUUAAUACCGAGGGCUACUUUGUGUUCCAUAAUCCGUAGGAGAAUGACCCAUUGCACGGCGCUCGUUUGAAGUCUUAGUUAACCUUUAAUCGUUUGAUGCUGAGUCUGGCUUUGAUUUUCACAGCAGAAGAAGUGCGUUUUGCAAAACCUUCAGGAAGGAAACGUGCCAAUCCCACAGUAUUUCUCAUCGUGCUGUGGACGUUACUGUCAAAACCUCUCGGGCAACGCUGUGAGCAGUGAGGGCUUUUUCCAUUCCUCGCUUGCGCUCUGCCUCUUGUAAGGCAGCAUCGGAGUAAUGGCUUAAAUGCUGCUAACGUUUGUUUUGCUGAAGGAGACCUGGGCCGGUAGAGCAGGGCGGCGUGGCGCAGGUCUCAGAUGUGGAAUUUCCUCAGCACGAAGGUAUGCGGAGUAGGUUCUUGAGGGAACGCUUACAGGUGUUCAGAAAAGCAGAAGUAGAAAGGUUAAACCUUCAGUGCAUUCCACGAUAAAAGCGGAGCCAACAGCCCUUCAGAAGCAUGUCAGCUUGUUUGUUUUUGCCUUGUGGGAGGUGCUGUUUAACCGGCGCUGAGCUGGCAGAUAAGGCGGUGCUGCCAUGCUGCAGAGAGGUGAAGAAUUCCCCUCGCCCGCUCCCACCCGGCGCGCUGUGUGAGCUCGAGCUGCUGUAAUAAAAGUCUGCCCUCCGCAGUGGGUUUGGCCCAGAGCCUGGGAGCUGGGAGCGGGGCUUCCCUCGGCUGUGCAAACCUGGGGGCUGUCUCCCUGCCUGUGCAACUCCAUAGCCUGCGUUUGACCGCUGUGCUGCCCUGAUCUGCUCAAACUGGGCCUUCUAGCGCUCCCCACCUCCUGAAUUUUUUGUCUCCGUGCCAGCACUUCCUUUUCACCACAAUUCCUACCCUGUAACUAUCACAGCUGACUCCUUCUCCAAAGAAUAGGAAAUAAACUCCCUUACCUCCAGCCAAGACCUGAUAACUGCUGAUAAGUGGCUUGUCAGCAGGGGCUGAGCCGGGCGCUGGUCACUGCUGGGCUCGGGUCCUGAACCCUUCUGAGAGGUAACGGCUGAUGGAAGCCAAGGAAGCAGAAAGCUGUGCAAAGAAGGACUUGGAAGGGAGAUGUGCGUCCACCAUCUGUCUUUUGUGCGAGAUAUCGUAUGCUGGCUUGCCUACCUGUCCUGCCUGGUGUUUCUGUUCUUGUAUGAGCGUGGCCCCUGGUUCUGAACAUCCUCCAUGACAUUUUCAUCUCUCUGUCUGAGAGUGUUUAACACUGUUAAUAGCAUCGGCUGCUUUGGCUUACAGCUGAGAACAGCCAGGCAGGCUCUCAAAAUUGUUUCAAUGAGAAAACAAGGAUGUCCAGAACAGCAGUACCUCUGCCUUGGUUCGUGGCUGAAAUAAUCUUUCUCUUAUCCCUGCAGUGAUGUGCUGACAGAGUGCCGUCUCUCUGGCUGUACAGCCAGGACACAUGUUUUUCUCUUCUGAAAGAGGUGAAACCUCUUCCAGUGUCCCCACGACCAGAAGCUCUUCCUGAUGCUGCCUGGGGCUGCUCGGAGGAAGCAGGGACCCAAUGGCUGCUGCUCUGGGUGAGCUGGGCACUGAUAGCGCCCAACCAGCCCACGUGGGCUUGGUUCUUAUUAAUCAAAACGUGCUCGGUGGCGGCUGUCCUGCCGUGCCCUGCGUGCCCACCAUGCAAAUUCCUCUGCUGACUGCUUGCCGAUCAGGCAGCAUGUGAAGGGGAUAGCGGUUCAAGAGGCUGGGGCUGAGUCUGGCUUUGCUAUAGGCUGUGAAUGUGAUUUACACCCCGUGGGCUCCCCAGCUGGUCGCCGAAUGGGGUAGCAUGGAUGGCAUUUUCCUUUUCAAGUUUGGUUUCUGUGGAGACUCGUUUCUUCCUAGGUGAUAACUUUACAGAGGAGACUAAUGACCACAUGUUGAUGAAAUACUGCUGCGGGCCCAUCUGGAACUGACGUGCGUCUUUGAGAAACAGCUGGAAAUCUGCAUCCUCCAUCUCUACAGCCAAAGCACUCCUUUGCUGUGAUUGCUGCCUUUGAAGCAAGCUAAGCUUUCCAAGUGCAAGCUCCAGCCAAGCUUGGGCUCUGGCUCAGCGCUCUUGACACAAAGUGUUCUCCAGCCCUGGGAUAUAUAACCUGUUAGAUCCAAGCCUGAGAAACCACCGUUGCUGUAAUGAUACACAAAAUAGAAAUCUCCACCUAACCCAGGACAAAAUGCUGUGCAAUCACUUUUGGAUCGCUGUGGGCUGCUUUCGCCGCAGACGCGAAGUCUGACAUCCAAAUGCACAACAGAAGAUCACCGAGACUUUGCAAAAUGCUCUAGGUGACAUAAACCGCAGUUUAAUGUGUUAGCAUUUGCCCGUCUGGGGGAUUCCUGAGGCUCAGCCAGCAGCGGGGCUGUGGGAAAGGAGGAGCGCAAACACCGCUGUCCUCUGCUGACCCGGCUUGUGCUGCUGCGUCGCUGACAGCCAUAAUAGGGAGCUCUGCGGAGAG
ensembl:lncRNA